rnacentral:lncRNA from 1 species
AGCACCUUUCUAGCUUGGUUUGGAGCUUAAAUAGAGGUUAGUAGCUUUGAUCUCUCCUUUGGAUCAUGCUAUGUUGGAUUUUUGAGAUGAAAAUUUAGUUUUGGAAAAACUAUGGUUUUAUUUGGGGUUUUUUUGGGGGGUUUUUGAUUUAUAGUCUUUGGGGUUAAAUUGAUGGGAACAUAGAACUCUCUUUUAGAUUGGAUUAGAAGUAUCU